rnacentral:rRNA from 1 species
AUACCGAGGGUGCAAGCGUUAAUCGGAUUUACUGGGCGUAAAGCGCGCGUAGGCGGCUAAUUAAGUCAAAUGUGAAAUCCCCGAGCUUAACUUGGGAAUUGCAUUCGAUACUGGUUAGCUAGAGUGUGGGAGAGGAUGGUAGAAUUCCAGGUGUAGCGGUGAAAUGCGUAGAGAUCUGGAGGAAUACCGAUGGCGAAGGCAGCCAUCUGGCCUAACACUGACGCUGAGGUGCGAAAGCAUGGGGAGCAAACAGGAGUAGAUACCCGUGUAGUCC